rnacentral:tRNA from 1 species
GUUAACAUGGCAGAGUCAGGUAAUUGCAAAAGCUCUAAGAUCUUUCUACCGAAGGUUCAAUUCCUUCUGUUAACU